GAUCCUGGCUCAGGACGAACGCUGGCGGCGUGCCUAAUACAUGCAAGUAGAACGCUGAAGGAGGAGCUUGCUUCUCUGGAUGAGUUGCGAACGGGUGAGUAACGCGUAGGUAACCUGCCUGGUAGCGGGGGAUAACUAUUGGAAACGAUAGCUAAUACCGCAUAAUAGCAGUUGUUGCAUGACAACUGUUUGAAAGGUGCAAUUGCACCACUACCAGAUGGACCUGCGUUGUA
rnacentral:rRNA from 1 species